GGCCCUAUCGUCUAUCGGCUAGGACGCUGCCCUUUCAAGGCAGAAAGAGGGGUUCGACUCCCCUUAGGGCCA
rnacentral:tRNA from 1 species